AUGAUACUAUACCUUGAUGCGCUUGUCCAUGACAUCCCAGUAAGCAAAUGCGCGAUACGAUCGAAUGCAUGGGAUAGUACUCUAAUUUCCAAGGUGAUCAAGAAGGAUACCAUCUCUCCUGGUGUGUUCGGCCAAUUACAACUUAAAGAGGAGUAUAGAGGCACGGGGCAGACACCACUGUUUGGUGGAAUUUUGCAAGUUGAAGCAUUCGUGUCAUCCAAGUUACCAAUAACCUACAAUCCGCAGAAAAAGGCAAAGUUUGCGAAAGUGCAGCCAUCAAUGCAAACCGGGGCGUCACGCUGUGCUCCAAAAAGAAAGAGACGGGGGUCAACUAUACAAGAAGAAGAGGAGUUUGUUGAGGAUGAGUCAGAAGAAGAUGAGGAAAUGGAAGCAGCGAUAGAUGUUGACAAUGACGGGGACACAGAUGCGGAUGAAUCAGAGGAGGAAGACAAGGAUGAGGAUGACAAUGAAGAAGAUGCAUAG
rnacentral:rRNA from 1 species